CGGGAACUUGGGGAACUGAAAUAUCUAAGUACCCAAAGGAAAAGAAAUCGAAUGAGAACCCCUUAGUAAGCGACGAGCGAACAGGGGCGAGUCUAAACCACGAAUUUAUUCGUGGGGUUGCAGGGCCAGACACAACUUAGUUUUUUCGAUAGAAGAACAAUUUGGAAUAGUUGACCAUAGGGGGUGAGAGUCCCGUAUUCGAAAUUGGAAAAACUAAAGUCUGGUACCUAAGUAAAUCUGGAGACGGCAAACUCUAGAUCGAAUCCGGGCCGACCACGGUCCAAGACUAAAUACUUUUACUGACCGAUAGUGAACUAGUACCGCGAGGGAAAGGUGAAAAGUAGCCCGUUGAGGGCAGUGAAAUAGUACCUGAAACCAUAUGCCUACAAAGAGUC
rnacentral:rRNA from 1 species